GGAUGCCUUUGGGGGAGAUUG
rnacentral:miRNA from 2 species